AGAGCGAACGCUGGCGGCAGGCUUAACACAUGCAAGUCGAGCGGGCGUAGCAAUACGUCAGCGGCAGACGGGUGAGUAACGCGUGGGAACGUACCUUUUGGUUCGGAACAACACAGGGAAACUUGUGCUAAUACCGGAUAAGCCCUUACGGGGAAAGAUUUAUCGCCGAAAGAUCGGCCCGCGUCUGAUUAGCUAGUUGGUGAGGUAACGGCUCACCAAGGCGACGAUCAGUAGCUGGUCUGAGAGGAUGAUCAGCCACAUUGGGACUGAGACACGGCCCAAACUCCUACGGGAGGCAGCAGUGGGGAAUAUUGGACAAUGGGCGAAAGCCUGAUCCAGCCAUGCCGCGUGAGUGAUGAAGGCCCUAGGGUUGUAAAGCUCUUUGUGCGGGAAGAUAAUGACGGUACCGCAAGAAUAAGCCCGGCUAACUUCGUGCCAGCAGCCGC
rnacentral:rRNA from 1 species